rnacentral:rRNA from 1 species
AGUGAACGCUGGCGGUAGGCCUAACACAUGCAAGUCGAACGGCAGCACAGUAAGAGCUUGCUCUUACGGGUGGCGAGUGGCGGACGGGUGAGGAAUACAUCGGAAUCUACUUUUUCGUGGGGGAUAACGUAGGGAAACUUACGCUAAUACCGCAUACGACCUACGGGUGAAAGCAGGGGAUCUUCGGACCUUGCGCGAUUGAAUUAGCCGAUGUCGGAUUAGCUAGUUGGCGGGGUAAAGGCCCACCAAGGCGACGAUCCGUAGCUGGCCUGAGAGGAUGAUCAGCCACACUGGAACUGAGACACGGUCCAGACUCCUACGGGAGGCAGCAGUGGGGAAUAUUGGACAAUGGGCGCAAGCCUGAUCCAGCCAUACCGCGUGGGUGAAGAAGGCCUUCGGGUUGUAAAGCCCUUUUGUUGGGAAAGAAAAGCAGCAGGUUAAUACCCCGCUGUUCUGACGGUACCCAAAGAAUAAGCACCGGCUAACUUCGUG